rnacentral:rRNA from 1 species
UACGAAGGGUGCAAACGUUGCUCGGAAUUAUUGGGCGUAAAGAGCUCGUAGGCGGUUUGUUGCGUCGGCUGUGAAAACCUGAGGCUCAACCUCAGGCCUGCAGUCGAUACGAGCAGACUAGAGUGUUGCAGGGGAGACUGGAAUUCCUGGUGUAGCGGUGAAAUGCGCAGAUAUCAGGAGGAACACCGGUGGCGAAGGCGGGUCUCUGGGCAACAACUGACGCUGAGGAGCGAAAGCGUGGGGAGCGAUCAGG